rnacentral:rRNA from 1 species
AUUGAACGCUGGCGGCAGGCCUAACACAUGCAAGUCGAACGAGUGGCGGACGGGUGAGUAAUGUCUGGGAAACUGCCCGAUGGAGGGGGAUAAAUACUGGAAACGGGUGCUAAUACCGCAUACCAUCGGGUGUGCCCAGAUGGGUUUAGCGAGUAGGUGGGGUAACGGCUCACCUAGGCGACGAUCCCUAGCUGGUCUGAGAGGAUGACCAGCCACACUGGAACUGAGACACGGUCCAGACUCCUACGGGAGGCAGCAUGGGGGAAUAUUGCACAAUGGGCGCAAGCCUGAUGCAGCCAUGCCGCGUGUAUGAAGAAGGCCUUCGGGUUGUAAAUUACUUUCAGCGAGGAGGCGUUACUCGCAGAAGAAGCACCGGCUAACUCCGUGCCAGCAGCCGCGGUAAUUC